CAGCCGCCGCGGUAAUACAGAGGGUGCGAGCGUUAAUCGGAUUUACUGGGCGUAAAGCGUGCGUAGGCGGCUAAUUGAGUCGGAUGUGAAAUCCCCGAGCUUAACUUGGGAAUUGCAUUCGAUACUGGUUAGCUAGAGUGUGGGAGAGGAUGGUAGAAUUCCAGGUGUAGCGGUGAAAUGCGUAGAGAUCUGGAGGAAUACCGGUGGCGAAGGCGGCCCCCUGGACAAAGACUGACGCUCAGGUGCGAAAGCGUGGGGAGCAAACAGGAUUAGAUACCCCGGUAGUCCCUGUCUCUUAUAC
rnacentral:rRNA from 1 species